UCGAACGGUGAAGAGGAGCUUGCUCCUCUGAUCAGUGGCGAACGGGUGAGUAACACGUGAGCAACCUACCCUUGACUCUGGGAUAACAGUUGGAAACAGCUGCUAAUACCGGAUACGACCCUGGCGGGCAUCUGCCGGGGUGGAAAGCUCCGACGGUCAAGGAUGGGCUCGCGGCCUAUCAGCUUGUUGGUGAGGUAACGGCCCACCAAGGCGACGACGGGUAGCCGGCCUGAGAGGGCGACCGGCCACACUGGGACUGAGAUACGGCCCAGACUCCUACGGGAGGCAGCAGUGGGGAAUAUUGCGCAAUGGGCGAAAGCCUGACGCAGCAACGCCGCGUGCGGGAUGAAGGCCUUCGGGUUGUAAACCGCUUUCAGCAGGGACGAAGGGUUUCUGACGGUACCUGCAGAAGAAGCACCGGCUAACUACGUGCCAG
rnacentral:rRNA from 1 species